AGAAGAACCUGACUGCCUGCAUUUAACUCUCUGCUUGUUACAGAAAAUCUGCAUUGUUUUGAUAUUUGCAAGACAAGAAGUCUGCCAAAAGUUUGCAGGACAUAUAUUCUAUUUUUUGAGGAGAUGUGGAGUUUUUGAUGCUAGUUCUCAUCAUCUGCUUUCUGAAGGCCUCUUUAACUAUCUUUUCGCAAAACAAGUCACAAUUCAAAUGGUUCUGAAGGCAAAUCCAAGAUUUGGAGAAGUCCUAGCUGUAAUAUUUCAACCACAUGCAUCGUCAAAAGAUUGCUGCAUGACCAUCUCCUCCCUGAUGGCUAAGAUAAAUACACUUUCUUUAAUUUGACUGUUGCCUUGAUAAAAUCAUAGUGUGUUUCUAAAAGGAUUUUGAAUUAGGUUAUUGUUUAAUAGGUGAUUGCUAACAUUUGUAUAAUUCAUUUUUUUGCAAACACCACAAGUUUUUCAAAGCUUAUAUGUGUUCUUCUUUGGGACAAUCAACUUGUAGACUUGCAUUUUCUUCUAUAAUUUCCUUCAAAGUGACAUCAUAUCUCUAUUUCGAGAUAUUAGUCUUGUAAUUUUCUUUUAAGUUUAAUGUUUAUUAUUUUUGCAGUAUUCAUGAACUCAUCUGUUGAUUGGCAUAUUAAUCAAUUUAAGGUGCUUUUUGGUACUAAUUGAAGCUCAACUUUCCUGCCGAUUGGUUAGCUGCUUCAGGAAUGGAGCAACACGGCUAAAGAUGUAAAAUCGAGGAGUUGGAAAUGUAUCCAGUGAGGACGCAAUCUGAUGUGGAUGAUGGUGGACACAGAAAGCAAGCAAUCUGGCUCAGCAGAAUCGAGUCCAUGGUUUUAUUGCAACAAUAAAAAAAAGUGAUUUCUCUAUACAAACUUUCCAUGGGAGUGAUCAAGAAAGAGUGUGAAUAAAACCUUAAUUUCUUAUGUGAUGACUUGUCUAGCAGGUAUGAGAAUGUAUAUGGAAUAAAUUGAAGAUUGUGUUAAUUUUAUACAGAAAAAUGAAAUGUCAAAAAUAGACAACCUUUGUGCUGGGAUGAAUAAAUGCUUAUGGUGUUAAGUGGUUAUUGACAUAUUGGACUGUCAAUUAGUGAUGGAUAGAAUUCCAAAGUCAUUUCUUUUGUGGUCUUAUUUACAUGAGAUUCUCUUAAGCCGUGAACUUUGAACCCUUAUUCUGGUAGCUGACUCUGAAUCUUUGAGAGUCUAGAGAACUUUUUGAUGGAGCUUUUUGCUCACUCUCAUAAGCGGAAGAGUAUGGUGUCCUUGAAGUACUAAGGUUUAUGUAGUAGGUAAUAGAUCUUACUAAUGGAGUGAAUGCAACUUUUCCAUUUGCAAUCUGCUACGAGUACAAAGAUUAGUAGCCGGUAGAAUGGUUAGUACAUGCUUAUGCUGAACCAUGACUUGAGCCACAAUUGAAUCGCACUAAUGUAUCUCCCCCAUGGUCUUGCAUGGUCAAAGGAAUCAGUCUGAUUGCUUUUUUUUUUUCCUUUUUCGACUUACUGCUUUCUCUGCAAUGAUGAAGGUAGAGCAUGCUGCUUGUUUUUGGUUUCUAAUUCAAAAACCUUCUUAAGACAUGCAAAUAAUGGUAUCUGUAACUUCCUCUGCAUUUUUCCCCAUUCUGCUGAUCAAGGCUAUAUUCCUUUAAUCUGUGAUGUUUAUGGUGCACUAGCUUUUGUUGGCAUCUUUUCAAGAAUAUUUUCCAUGUUUUCUUUUUAUACCUUUCUAGAAUUCCUUAUCAGCAAAUGCAUCUGAUGCUAACUGAUCUAAUGAAUUCAAGGAACAUAAUUUUGAAGAGCUGGUACAUAAGUGGUAAAAACGAAACAUGUACAUUUUAGAAAGCCAGCUAUUGAAAUCCUCUAAUUAACUUGUAGCCUGCUUAAGAAUCUAAAUGGUACAACAAAGUUCCAUUCAUUUGAUAUAUUAGUUCUCGUCAUCCCAGCUGUCCCCUCGUGGUCCACUUUAUUUUACUUGCAUCUGGAACUACUGGUAUACUUGAUAGACAUGGUAUUGGUUCCUUUUCAGAAGAUUUGAGGAUCAAGUAGAGCAAGCCAUUUCCAAUCUCGAGCCUAACCAGUAAGAUUUAGGUUGUUGCUUUCCCAAAAUUUAGAUUGAGGUUAUUUUCAGAUUUUCUAUUUAAUUUUUGAAGCCCUAUCGCUUCUCUAUUGCUGGAUGCUACUAAACUGAACUGGUGCAUGUGUGACAGCAUAUGAAUUACCCCAAGCCUUCAUCUCCGUAUGCUAUGAAGUAACAAGACUGUGCCAGUUAGAAUUUUGUCUGGUCCUUAUUCUUCUCAUCCUAUAAAGCCGUAAGACAUUGUGCAAUUAUGUGUUUCAAUAAUGUCUCAUGGAACAUGGAGUUCUGUGCUCUGCAGAUUAUUAACUUGGAGUUCUUUGAUAUUCUAAAACAUGCUAUAAUUGAAAUUUCAGUUCUAGCAUCAUUCUGAAAUUUAUUUUAUCCCAUCAUAAAGAGAACAAUGUUGGGAUCGAUCCAAUAUCAUCAUAAGCAUAUGCUCCCACUUGGCCACUUGGCAUGUAGACUAAUACGAAUACCGGUGUUUAAUCACUAUUCUUCCCGUUGCCCCCCACUUCCCACCAAAAAGCAAAACUCAUUCAACACUGCCUUUUUUAUGUACAAGUUUCUUAUAUUCUUCAUUCUACUGAAUAUAUUUUUUCUGGUCCUAUGUAAAGCAUGAACCUGGGCAUUUUUUUUCACUACCUGUGCCUUGCUUAUUCCCUUCAUGUUAAAGUCUUAGGUCUGCAAGCUGUUUUGUUCUGUAAAUUCGAGCAAAACAUCAUGUCGUCCAUUGAUGUUUCGUUUUACUAUGGGUAUAUCUUAUCUACAAAUUUCCAGAACUGAUUCUGCCACAGAAAUUCC